AAAUUGAAGAGUUUGAUCAUGGCUCAGAUUGAACGCUGGCGGCAGGCCUAACACAUGCAAGUCGAACGGUAACAGGAAGCAGCUUGCUGCUUUGCUGACGAGUGGCGGACGGGUGAGUAAUGUCUGGGAAACUGCCUGAUGGAGGGGGAUAACUACUGGAAACGGUGGCUAAUACCGCAUAACGUCGCAAGACCAAAGAGGGGGACCUUCGGGCCUCUUGCCAUCAGAUGUGCCCAGAUGGGAUUAGCUUGUUGGUGAGGUAACGGCUCACCAAGGCGACGAUCCCUAGCUGGUCUGAGAGGAUGACCAGCCACACUGGAACUGAGACACGGUCCAGACUCCUACGGGAGGCAGCAGUGGGGAAUAUUGCACAAUGGGCGCAAGCCUGAUGCAGCCAUGCCGCGUGUAUGAAGAAGGCCUUCGGGUUGUAAAGUACUUUCAGCGGGGAGGAAGGGAGUAAGGUUAAUAACCUUAUUCAUUGACGUUACCCGCAGAAGAAGCACCGG
rnacentral:rRNA from 1 species